rnacentral:rRNA from 1 species
AGCCCCGUACACAAAAAUGCACAUGCUGUGAGCUCGAUGAGUAGGGCGGGACACGUGGUAUCCUGUCUGAAUAUGGGGGGACCAUCCUCCAAGGCUAAAUACUCCUGACUGACCGAUAGUGAACCAGUACCGUGAGGGAAAGGCGAAAAGAACCCCGGCGAGGGGAGUGAAAAAGAACCUGAAACCGUGUACGUACAAGCAGUGGGAGCACGCUUAGGCGUGUGACUGCGUACCUUUUGUAUAAUGGGUCAGCGACUUAUAUUCUGUAGCAAGGUUAACCGAAUAGGGGAGCCGAAGGGAAACCGAGUCUUAACUGGGCGUUAAGUUGCAGGGUAUAGACCCGAAACCCGGUGAUCUAGCCAUGGGCAGGUUGAAGGUUGGGUAACACUAACUGGAGGACCGAACCGACUAAUGUUGAAAAAUUAGCGGAUGACUUGUGGCUGGGGGUGAAAGGCCAAUCAAACCGGGAGAUAGCUGGUUCUCCCCGAAAGCUAUUUAGGUAGCGCCUCGUGAAUUCAUCUCCGGGGGUAGAGCACUGUUUCGGCAAGGGGGUCAUCCCGACUUACCAACCCGAUGCAAACUGCGAAUACCGGAGAAUGUUAUCACGGGAGACACACGGCGGGUGCUAACGUCCGUCGUGAAGAGGGAAACAACCCAGACCGCCAGCUAAGGUCCCAAAGUCAUGGUUAAGUGGGAAACGAUGUGGGAAGGCCCAGACAGCCAGGAUGUUGGCUUAGAAGCAGCCAUCAUUUAAAGAAAGCGUAAUAGCUCACUGGUCGAGUCGGCCUG